UUACAGCCUUAGAUCACAUAUCAAAAUAAUUACCGGUAGUACUUCCUGGUGGUGUUAGGAAUACACGUGUGCAUUCUUACAGUGAACCACCAAUAAUAAACAGACAUGAGAAAUGAGCUGAAUCAUUAUAACAGAAAAUGGAACAAAAAUCGAACUUUUAUUCACCGUCCUUUGGGUUGCAGCAAAAGUGAUACAUAUGAACGGUUUGUUUUGUGAUACAGAGUAUGCGGGAUAUUGAGGACGUAUAUUACAAACCUUGGACUUCUCAGUACAUUUACAAAGGAGUCAAUCAAUCCAUGAUAUUACGCAGCAUUAGUUACUGAAAAGGAGUUUGGAACACCCUUGUGACGAAUCUAAAUAUUUUUCUCAACAUUGAAGCAACAAUAGUCUUGGAUAACUUGUUUUAGGAAAAGAAAACUGGCCUGAGUUUGUUUUUUGUCUGGAAAUUUGGAUCUUUUCCUUAGGAAAAAAUUCCACUACCGUCUAGAAGUUUUGGUAGAAAAGCUUUCCGUUUUGGAUUUCUUGCAAUCAGGGACAUAAGAGUGCAUCAGUGAUUUCUCUCUAUUGGAUACGCACAAAGCUUCUAGAUGCAGCGUUUUCUGUGAUUGGAAAAAAUAUAUGACAAGAAAGAUGCUCCACUACAUACCAAAGUUUUGAAUGCUGAAGUAACUGUGCAAGGAUACCAUAGGAUCUGUCCCUACGUGUUUAGUCUAAUAUACCACUAUUCAAUUCAUCCACACGUUCAAAAUGAAGGCGAGGGCAAUACCUGUGCACUCGAAACCAUCUCAUCAAACCUUAUUCACAUCAAUUUCAACGUAGCUAUUUAUGUAAAAACUAUAUGUAUAUAGAACUGUAUUUAGCCUUCCGGUGCCUUCGGAUAUUGGUCUUGUCUCACAAGAGCUGCGUAUAUCUUUUUAGAGCAAAAUACAUGGAGUAUUUUAUUUUUCUCACAAAAAACUGUAAGGAACCUACUAAAGGAAUGUACAUAGCCUUAGCCUCCAAGAAGAAAAGUUUUACUCUGGAGCUAGUAUUCUUUUCUUAGUAGAACUGAAUAAACCCUCUAGAGAAAUAUUACUCCACAGUUUUUCAAAUGAUAAUUGUACUAAGCCGUCUAGAGGAAUAUAACAGCAUAGUUCACAUUUUGUAUUACAAGAACUCUACGUAGAAUUCAAAGGAAUAUUACUCAUUUGUUCAUAUUUCGUCUAAUUAGGAAUGUACAAAGUCUCCUAGUGGUGUCGUAUUAGAAAUGUAUGUAAAUUUCGAGAGGAACACACCUUCGUAGUUCUGAUUUUGUCUAUAUAAGAAAUGAACAUAGCCUCCUAGAGGAAUAUAACUCCGUAGUUCAGAUUUUGCCCUAUCAGAAAUGUACAAAGCAUCAUGGAGGAAUAUUCCCCCGUAGUUCAGAUUUUGCCCUAUUGGCUAUUAGAAAUGCACAUAGACCUCUAGAGGAAUAUUCCUCCGUAGUUCAUAAUUUGUCUUAAAAGAGAUUAAUAUAGCCUCCUAGAGGAAUAUUACUCUGUAAUUCAGAUAUUGUCUUUUUAGAGAAUGAAGUACAUAUAGUCUCAUAAAGGAAUAAUACUCCUUAGUUCAGAUUUUCUUAUUUAGAACUGUACAAACUCCUAAGAUAGUUCAAUUUUUCCUUCAUAGAACUGUGCAUACAUAACCCUCUGGAGGAAUAUUACUAUGUAGAAAAGACUUUGUUUACCUCCACUUAUGCUGAGUUUUCACCUAGUAUUCUAGAUGUCUUUUUACAACUACACAAAUUCUAUCAGAUAUAUUAUUUACUCUGUAGUUAAUUUUCGUUUUGUAGAGGAUGUAAAUAAGAUUUUGUUUCAUUUGUGUCAUAAUAACCUUUUUGAGGAACCCCGUAUAUAUUUUGAAUUAUUAGAAUUGCAAUCUUUAAGAGAAAUAUUACUUUUUGGAUGAAAUUUUGUCUUUUUAGAACUCCUCAAAGUCUUUCAAUUGAAUAUUAUUACGUAGUUUAUUUUUUUGUUUAGUCAGAAUUGCAAUCCUCCAGAAAAAUAUUACUAGUAUUUCAAAGAUAUGUUUUUACCUCUAAGAGUUGUAAAUAUCUAGAGGAUUAUUACUCCGUCGAUAAACUUUCGUCGUAGUACAUGUAUAGCAUUACAUAGAGGAAUAUUACUCUGUGGCUCAGAUUAAGACUUAAUAGAACUGUGUAAUAUAAGCCUUCUGGGGGAAUAUUACUCCAUAGAUAAGUGUUUGUCGUAGCAGAUCUGUAAAUAGAAAACUUUUACUCCGUAGUUCAUAUUUUGUCUUAAUAGAC